rnacentral:rRNA from 1 species
AUUGAACGCUGGCGGCAUGCUUUACACAUGCAAGUCGAACGGUAACAGGCCUUCGGGCGCUGACGAGUGGCGAACGGGUGAGUAAUGCAUCGGAACGUGCCCAGAGGUGGGGGAUAACGCAGCGAAAGCUGUGCUAAUACCGCAUAUUAUCUGAGGAUGAAAGCGGGGGACUAAGCAGCAAUGUUUGGCCUCGCGCCUUUGGAGCGGCCGAUGUCAGAUUAGGUAGUUGGUGGGGUAAAGGCCUACCAAGCCGACGAUCUGUAGCUGGUCUGAGAGGACGACCAGCCACACUGGGACUGAGACACGGCCCAGACUCCUACGGGAGGCAGCAGUGGGGAAUUUUGGACAAUGGACGCAAGUCUGAUCCAGCCAUUCCGCGUGCAGGAUGAAGGCCCUCGGGUUGUAAACUGCUUUUGUACGGAACGAAAAGGGUCUCUAUUAAUACUAGGGGACUCAUGACGGUACCGUAAGAAUAAGC